UGCCCUAGUAACGGCGAGUGAAGCGGCAACAGCUCAAAUUUGAAAUCUGGCGUCUUCGGCGUCCGAGUUGUAAUUUGCAGAGGGCGCUUUGGCAUUGGCAGCGGUCCAAGUUCCUUGGAACAGGACGUCACAGAGGGUGAGAAUCCCGUACGUGGUCGCUAGCCUUUACCGUGUAAAGCCCCUUCGACGAGUCGAGUUGUUUGGGAAUGCAGCUCUAAAUGGGAGGUAAAUUUCUUCUAAAGCUAAAUACUGGCCAGAGACCGAUAGCGCACAAGUAGAGUGAUCGAAAGAUGAAAAGCACUUUGGAAAGAGAGUUAAAAAGCACGUGAAAUUGUUGAAAGGGAAGCGCUUGCAGCCAGACUUGCCUGUAGUUGCUCAUCUAGGUUUCUACCUAGUGCACUCUUCUAUAGGCAGGCCAGCAUCAGUUUGGGCGGUUGGAUAAAGGUCUCUGUCAUGUACCUCUCUUCGGGGAGAACUUAUAGGGGAGACGACAUGCAACCAGCCUGGACUGAGGUCCGCGCAUCUGCUAGGAUGCUGGCGUAAUGGCUGUAAGCGGCCCGUCUUGAAACACGGACCAAGGAGUCUAACAUCUAUGCGAGUGUUUGGGUGUCAAGCCCGAACGCGUAAUGAAAGUGAACGGAGGUGGGAACCUUUCGGGGUGCACCAUCGACCGAUCCUGAUGUCUUCGGAUGGAUUUGAGUAAGAGCAUAGCUGUUGGGACCCGAAAGAUGGUGAACUAUGCUUGAAUAGGGUGAAGCCAGAGGAAACUCUGGUGGAGGCUCGCAGCGGUUCUGACGUGCAAAUC
rnacentral:rRNA from 1 species